rnacentral:lncRNA from 1 species
CCGGAUCCCAGGCAGAAGGGAGAAAUUUCAGCAGCGCCCCCAGCAAAUGCUCCAGCCACAGGGUAGGAGCCUCCUGCAGGGUCCAGAGCUGCCCGCCUGAAAAGUGUGCAGGCCCUCAGCAGUGCCUGACCCCAGUGCCCCAGGUGCUGCCGAGCCCAGCCCCAGCGGCGAGGAAGAGAACAGGUGUCCCUCAACUGGCAGCCACUGACGCUUCAGGAGGCCCGAGCUCUGUUGAGACGAAGGCGGCCCCGUGGGCCAGGGGGCCGGGCACUGCUGAGAAGGAGGCCCCCACAGCGCGCCCCUGCCGGCCAGACCCGGGGUAAGAACAUCCGCC